rnacentral:rRNA from 1 species
ACGUUAGCGGCGGACGGGUGAGUAACACGUGGGUAACCUACCUAUAAGAGUGGGAUAACUUCGGGAAACCGGAGCUAAUACCGGAUAAUAUUUCGAACCGCAUGGUUCGAUAGUGAAAGAUGGUUUUGCUAUCACUUAUAGAUGGACCCGCGCCGUAUUAGCUAGUUGGUAAGGUAACGGCUUACCAAGGCGACGAUACGUAGCCGACCUGAGAGGGUGAUCGGCCACACUGGAACUGAGACACGGUCCAGACUCCUACGGGAGGCAGCAGUAGGGAAUCUUCCGCAAUGGGCGAAAGCCUGACGGAGCAACGCCGCGUGAGUGAUGAAGGUCUUCGGAUCGUAAAACUCUGUUAUUAGGGAAGAACAUACGUGUAAGUAACUAUGCACGUCUUGACGGUACCUAAUCAGAAAGCCACGGCUAACUACGUGCCAGCAGCCGCGGUAAUACGUAGGUGGCAAGCGUUAUCCGGAAUUAUUGGGCGUAAAGCGCGCGUAGGCGGUUUUUUAAGUCUGAUGUGAAAGCCCACGGCUCAACCGUGGAGGGUCAUUGGAAACUGUAAAACUUGAGUGCAGAAGAGGAAAGUGGAAUUCCAUGUGUAGCGGUGAAAUGCGCAGAGAUAUGGAGGAACACCAGUGGCGAAGGCGACUUUCUGGUCUGUAACUGACGCUGAUGUGCGAAAGCGUGGGGAUCAAACAGGAUUAGAUACCCUGGUAGUCCACGCCGUAAACGAUGAGUGCUAAGUG